UACGGAGGGGGCAAGCGUUAUCCGGAUUCACUGGGUUUAAAGGGUGCGUAGGCGGGCAGGUAAGUCCGUGGUGAAAUCUCUGAGCUUAACUCAGAAACUGCCAUGGAUACUAUUUGUCUUGAAUAUUGUGGAGGCAAGCGGAAUAUGUCAUGUAGCGGUGAAAUGCUUAGAUAUGACAUAGAACACCCAUUGCGAAGGCAGCUUGCUACGCAAUGAUUGACGCUGAGGCACGAAAGCGUGGGGAUCAAACAGG
rnacentral:rRNA from 1 species